rnacentral:lncRNA from 1 species
GCCUGGAUUAAUGCUCUGCUGUCCCUGUCUUGAAAUUCUUAGUGCUGUUUGGACAAGGAUCCCGGGUUUUCGUUGUGCAUGGGAUUCCACGCAUCGUGUGGCCUGUUUUGUCCAUGGCACGUGGCCAUCAGCCAGCCUGGCUCAGCCCCACGGUUUCUGAUGGACUAGCGUGGCCUGAGACCCUGUGCAGAGGGAGCCCAGGCCAGUGCGGAUGAGGCUCCCACUAGUUCUCUCUCUGUCUAAAUGGGCACAAACUGUACCCACAGCUAGCGGGGACUCCAUGGCAUCAGCUAAGGCUGCCACGGGAAGCCAGGAUUUCCGAGUGUAUUUAAUAAGCUAAUUCGAAUGCAGAUAUUAGAAGCUAUAGGACUGUCUUUCCUCCUCCCAGACGGUGUUUAAUGAUGAGCAAGGAGAGACAUGGAAAAGGAGCCAGUGCCCAUCCCCCCCCCCCCCAUCUCGCAAACCUAAAGGAGACCUGAGCUGGUGUGUGGAGCUCUACACUGGAUGUGAGUCGGGAGUUAGGUAAAACCAUCACUUUCAAGAACAGAGGAAUGCCAGCGGGAUGGGCGUGUGGCCGUUAUGAUGUCACCCAUCUUCAGAGACAAGACCUUGCCGAGCCGUCGCCCCCUGCUGGCCAUUAUGACAACCCGCGAUGACACCCCAGACCAGUCACGGGUGAAAGCCUGAAACCCACCAAGGAAAGGAGAUGUGUGAAAAUCAAUAUAGGAUGUGUGAAGGUACAAGUUAUGUGGAUACCAAAUAUAUGAGCACCACAACUUCUGUGAACAUAAAGGAAACUCCCCGAGACCUUACCCUGGGAUAACGCAAAUUCAGCUUGGCCUGGAUCUGCCCAGCUUUCAUCUCACUAACGUUGUCACAAGUGCUUUCCCGUCUAGAUUCUCACAGCACACUGGACAGAGCUCUUUGACGGCUAUCUACACACAAAAGGACUUCACUAGCAGGCCUGAUUCCUGUCCUACAAAUGGCUUGGUCAGCAUUCUGAGAACUUAUGUUUAGGGAAGAUUCAUGUUAUCCUAACUGGGCCACACAUCUGCGGAAUUUCCUAGGCUCAGGGUCCAGUUGGAGCUGUAGCUACCGGUCUACACCACAGCCACUGCAACGCAAGAUCUGAGCCACAUCUGCAACCUACACCACAGCUCAUGGCAAUACUGGAUCCUUAACCUAAUGAGCAAGGCCAGGGAUCGAACCCGCAUCCUCAUGGAUACUAGUCGGGUUCGUUACUGCUGACCCACAACAGGGACUCUGAACUAAUUUUUUUUUUUUCUCAUGGCCACGCCCGGGGUGUAUGAAGUCCCUGAGCCAGGGACUAAAUCUGAGCUGCAGCUGUGACUUAUGCCACAGCUGCAGCAAUGCUGGAUCCUUAACCCACUGCACUGGGCCAGGAAUCAAACCUGUGCCUCAGCAGCAACCUGGGACACUACAGUCGGAUUCUUAACCCACUGUGCCACAGCAGGACUCCGGGAACCAAUCCCUUUUAACCAUCUAUUAUGAACACACUACUUAUUAUUUCAAUGAAUUUUUAGAAAACCGCUAGAGAACUUUCUCUCCAUUUUACAGACCAGGAAGCCAAGUCUUACCUUAUUGCAGAGUUGGGAUUGGCAUCUGCCUGGGACUUUUUCUGCUGUGGCACAUUUGCCUCCAUAGGUGUCAAUCUGUUAGGUUGUCUACUAUUUGGCCCAAUAGCCCAGCUCACUAACCUCCUGUGCUGUGCUCUUUUCUCCCGGGGCUGCUGAAGUCCUUUUAUCUGAAUGAAGAGUGAGUGCAAAGCCCUACUUUGAAAAUACAGGCAGAUUAGCAGGGAGCCAUGUGGUCGUUCUGCUCAGAGAGGCACUGUUGAAAUCUGCAUGAGCAUGUAGCCAAAAAUACCCUCAGUGGUCCAGCAGUCCUUGCUAAACUGAGCACACAGGAAAUGCUCUUUAAUUAACACUGGCCGCAACUAUCUGAAAGAUAUUGUGCUGUUUGUGACUGUUCCCUGGCUGGCCUGAUGUUCCUGAUAGCUGCCUGUCAGCCCGAGUUCCCUAAUUGUCUCCAGCUUUCUGUGUUUAUUCAAGUUGUGCUUCAGUGAAUCCGGAAAGCAUUUCCUCUUCCUUCCCAGCUUGUGACGCUCCCACUUCAGCUUGUCAUACAACAGCUGUCACGUUGUGCGUGUGAGCAGUCCGGCAGAAUGACAUCCCUCUGUAUCCUGACUUGGCCCCGGGACUGUGGGAGGACAUCCCUCCCCACGGAGGCCGGGGAUUGAAGAACCAAGGACGUUCGCGCCUGACUGUAAACGCGCAAAAUGCAUUGGCGAGGUGUGGUCCCAGCAGAUGAUACAGAUGUGAACUGCGGAGAUUCCUGCAUCCUUGGUUUUACCCAUCCCCUCCCCUGAGGCUUAAAGACAGCAGGGAGCUGGGGCAUGCUUCUCAACACUGGCUACAAAGUGUGGUGAGAAUAAGGGGAGUCAGCUCCAGGUAAAAGGGGGGGCACUAGGAGAUCAGCCCGCAUAGCGUGAGGAAUGGGGUUAUAGGCAAUAGAAGAAAGUUCACCCUCAGUGGCAAAAGGGGUGAAAUAAUGCAACAUGGAUGGACCUAGAGCUUAUAUUCCAAAGAAUAUACCUACAUCAGACGAAGACAAGUAUCACAUGAUCUCACUCAUAUGUGGAAUCUAAAAAAAUGAUACAAAUGAAGUUAUAUAUGAAACAGAGACUCACGGACUGAGAAAACAAAAGUAUGGUUACCAAAGGGGAAAGGGUGGGGGCAGGAUAAAUUAGGAGAUUGGGGUGAGCAGACACACACUAUAAACAAAUUAGAUAACUAACAAAGCCCGAUUCUACAGCACAGAACUGCAUUCACUAUCUGGUGGUAGCAUCCCCACCUCUUUCCAAUAAUGGAAAAGAAUCGGCAGUUACGUAUAUCACAACCGAAUCACUUUGCUGUACACCUGAAAUGUAAAUCCACUAUAGUUCAAUUACAAAAUCACAGGAAAAAACACAUUCACUAAAUUUAAAAAAGACUUGAAGCAACAAAGUGGAUUCAGUUUGGGUUCAGACUGUGCUCAGGGAGGUCUGGAAAUAUUGCUAAAAGGAUUACAAAUUUAGUUACUACGUUAUAGUUUAAACCUUACCCUUUAAGAAGUAUGCAUCAUCAGUUCCUAUUUACAAACGAGGGUGUAAGAAAUGUGUCCAUUUUAACGUCAUUAGCGCAUAUGGUAGGGCCAGGAUGCCAUGAAUCCGGCUUGAAGUGAAAGCCAGUUCCCGUCAACCACGCCGCCCUGGGAUCAAAACCAAGGCAGGAGAAUCAAGCAGGAAUGCCAAAUCUGAACUCCUCAUCUUCUUCCAGAAAGGAGCCCUCCUUUGUUCCUUCCCUGUCUUGGUUAACGGCGUCAUGAUUCAGGAGGUCGCCAAGUCUGAAACCCCAGACCUAUCUUGAGGUUUCAGGAAACCCCGGCUUCUCCCUCAGUCUUCAAAACUCAGCUCUCAGGUCUCCUCCCGUGCGGGUCUCCCGGCACCUCUUCCAGGGCCAGCUCUGCUCAAGGCCUGCCCCUCCCUUCGCCUCGCCCACGGCAGCUGGGCAUCUCCAGGGUGAGGGACUGCAUUCCCCAGAUGUUUAGAUGCCCAGUGCACCCUCAGUGCCUGUCGCAUAGUUGGUCCUUUUAAUGAAUAAUACAGAGGAUAAGUGACAGUCAGAAUAUCAAGGAAAAUAUGUUUCUUUUUAUCUGUAACUUCUUUCCCUUUAGUACUGACUGGUAAGAGAAUUUUUCACCCAGGAAAAGUUUAAUACCAUAGCAGGCAUUGUCUUGGAUGGAAGUUUUAUAAGAUGUGCAAGCGGGAGAGUUCCCUGGUGGCCUAGUAGUUAAGGAUGUGGCCUUGUCACUGCUGUGGCUCGGGUUUGAUCCCUGGCUAGGGGAUUUCCACAUGCUGUGGGCAUGCCUAAAAAACCCCAAAACAAACAUAGGAGAUGUGUUCAUUUGACUAAUGGACAAUAUGUUUAUGGUUUUAAUAAUCACUAAUUAAGCUCUUCGAACACCAGAUGUUAGAGAACAUGGCUUCUCCAAAUUACUUCAUCAAACAUUCAGUAUAGAAGCUACUUUAGGCUUUUCAACAGGAUAAGAUUCAUACCGAAAGUCCUUUUGAUGUGGCAUUCAUCUGUCUUUCUAUUUAUCCCUCUCUCUUUCCAUCUACCUAAUAUAGACGUUGCAUAAAUGUCAUCCUGUCUCCUUUCCCUUUAAUUGCAUGUGGUUUAGCAGAAGUCAACCGGCAAGUCUGGGGCUAUGUGGCCUGAUGCGCUCCGCCUGUCUGAUCACCGUGCCACACUCGAGUCCCAUGUAACUGUUGUCAUUUGUUUCGCAAGCCUGGGAGAUACACAUGGUCAUAUCUCUAGCAUUUUUCCAAACAGACAUUUGAGAAGACCGUUUUUCUUAUUCUUAGGAAGUCCAGGAUCGCUCUUUUAAUGCUUCCUCUGCCCUUCUCAAUUGUCCAACAACCUUGAGGGUUUAAUUAACUUGGGGAGGAAGGCUGCGAUUUACCCUGCUUCCAAAUGCCAGCUGCAGAGAAAACUGGACAAGUGCUUCAGUCCGUAGCUGCCAUUGCUUUUGAUCACUGCAGCCAGCGACAGAUGGCUGGGGACUGGCUCUCUGUUGGUCCAAGGACUCACUGAAGCGCUCAGCUUAGAAUUCUAGGCGAAGGUUCCUUUCAGCCCACACCCGGAGCACAGCUGCUGGGCUGAGCUACAGCGCGCUUUCCGGCUUCCGUGAUCCCCAGGUUGGAACAGAUCCUCCCACACUCCUACGACCUUGCGUCAAAUGCGGGUCAUCAGGACUGACUUCUCUUGAACCAUGUGGAGCCUCUAAGGAUCUUUGCUGCCAGUGAGCCUGGGCAGAGCCUACCUGGCCCCUGGUUUCUCUAACUUACACUCGUCGGUAACCAGGAGUUCAGCCUUCCUCCCUCCUGCUCCCAAGUCCUUGGGCUCGAUAUGCACAUAAAUCCUACCUUGUCCUCAGAAAUUGAUCCUGCUUUUCAGGAUAUUUUGAGAAGGCGCUCGCCUUGUUCCCAUCUUCUUCCAGAGAGAGAAAUAGUGGGUUUUUCACUGAGGUCAACUCCGGUGCUAGAAGGAAACAAACUUAUUUUACAGGUUAUAAAAGUUGUUUUAGUUAUGUAUAGAAAUAGAUCUUUAAAAAACAUUCUCUCUCUCUUAUUAUCUGUCAACUCUUACCAAUCACCUGAGAUGCCUCCUUAGUGCAGGAGGUAGUGUGUCAGUCUCACAUCACCAAUUACGGGUCUGUAUCAUCUACUCUUACAAGGACUUCCUUCUCCAUGACUCAAGGGGGAAAAAUCACUAGAUGCGUCUGUUAACACUGCUGCUCUUUGGCACAGAUUUUAUCCCUAGCAUCACUGGCCACGGAAGUCAUGGUACCAAGGCCUGAGGAUAGAUUGAACCAUGCACUUCGAAUUUCUAGAGAAGCCUAUGGAACUGACUAAACGACAGGUCUACUGUUGAUGCGUUGAGCAUCCAUGAGAAGAACGUGUUUGAUAAGCAAGAGCUGUACUUUUCUUCAGCUGGUUACAAUGUGUCCCAGCGCUGUGAUGACUGUAACAUUUGACUGUAUUCUUCUUGGCCUGAAAAUUCAGAACUAAGUGGACAGGACUCUGUGGUACACAUUUAUUUGUUCUAAUGCUCCCUUUAAUUUAUCAAAAAUUGUUUACCUAUGUGGAGUUCCGGUCAUGGCUCAGCGGUAACGAACCUAACUAGUAUCCGUGUUCCAUCCCUGGCCACGCUCAGUGGGUUAAAGGAUCCGGCGUUGCCAUGAGCUCUGGCGCAGGCUGGCAGCUGUAGCUCCGAUGAGACCCCUAGCCUGAGAACAUCCAUAUGCCAUGGGUGCGGCCUUAAAAAGACAAAAAAAAAAAAAGUUUACC